rnacentral:rRNA from 1 species
UACGUAGGGUGCAAGCGUUGUCCGGAAUUAUUGGGCGUAAAGAGCUCGUAGGCGGUUUGUCGCGUCGGCUGUGAAAACUGGAGGCUUAACCUUCAGCGUGCAGUCGAUACGGGCAGACUUGAGUUCGGUAGGGGAGACUGGAAUUCCUGUGUAGCGGUGAAAUGCGUAGAUAUUGGGAGGAACACCAGUGGCGAAGGCGGCUCACUGGACCGGUACUGACGCUGAGGCGCGAAAGCGUGGGGAGCAAACGGG